rnacentral:rRNA from 1 species
GAGCGGUAAGGCCUUUCGGGGUACACGAGCGGCGAACGGGUGAGUACACGUGGGUGAUCUGCCCUGCACUUCGGGAUAAGCCUGGGAAACUGGGUCUAAUACCGGAUAUGACYUCMKRUYGCAUGCKKGGGGUGGAAAGAUUUAUCGGUGCAGGAUGGGCCCGCGGCCUAUCAGCUUGUUGGUGGGGUAAUGGCCUACCAAGGCACGACGGGUAGCCGACCUGAGAGGGUGACCGGCCACACUGGGACUGAGACACGGCCCAGACUCCUACGGGAGGCAGCAGGGGGAAUAUUGCACAAUGGGCGAAAGCCUGAUGCAGCGACGCCGCGUGAGGGAUGACGGCCUUCGGGUUGUAAACCUCUUCAGCAGGGACGAAGCGCAAGUGACGGUACCUGCAGAAGAAGCACCGGCUAACUACGUGCCAGCAGCCGCGGUAAUACGAGGGUGCAAGCGUUGUCCGGAAUUACUGGGCGUAAAGAGUUCGUAGGCGGUUUGUCGCGUCGUUUGUGAAAACCAGCAGUCAACUGCUGGCUUGCAGGCGAUACGGGCAGACUUGAGUACUGCAGGGGAGACUGGAAUUCCUGGUGUAGCGGUGAAAUCGCAGAUAUCAGGAGGAA